AGGAAAGGUUAAAAGAACCCCGGGAGGGGAGUGAAAUAGAUCCUGAAACCGCAUACAUACAAACAGUAGGAGCCUCGUUAAGGGGUGACUGCGUACCUUUUGCAUAAUGGGUCAGCGACUUACGUUUAAUGGCGAGCUUAACCGUAUAGGGGAGGCGCAGCGAAAGCGAGUUCGAACAGAGCGUUCAGUCGUUAGGCGUAGACCCGAAACCAGAUGAUCUAUCCAUGGCCAGGUUGAAGGUGUGGUAACACACACUGGAGGACCGAACCGACUAGUGUUGCAAAAUUAGCGGAUGAGCUGUGGAUAGGGGUGAAAGGCUAAACAAAUCUGGAGAUAGCUGGUUCUCCCCGAAAACUAUUGAGGUAGUGCCUCGUGUAUGACUCCAGGGGGUAGAGCACUGUUAUGGCUAGGGGGACAUGGCGUCUUACCAAACCAUGGCAAACUCCGAAUACUUGGAAGUUUGAGCACGGGAGACAGAGCACCGGGUGCUAACGUCCGGACUCAAGAGGGAAACAACCCAGACCGCCGGCUAAGGUCCCUAAUAUUGACUAAGUGGAAAACGAAGUGGAAAGGCUAAGACAGUCAGGAAGUUGGCUUAGAAGCAGCCAUCCUUCAAAGAAAGCGUAAUAGCUCACUGAUCGAGUCUUUCUGCGCGGAAGAUGUAACGGGGCUAAGUCAAUAACCGAAGCCGCGGAUUCACACUUAUGUGUGAGUGGUAGGGGAGCGUUCUGUAAGCCUGCGAAGGUGACUCGUAAGGGUUGCUGGAGGUAUCAGAAGUGCGAAUGCUGACAUGAGUAACGUUAAAGCGGGUGAAAAGCCCGCUCGCCGUAAGCCCAAGGUUUCCUGCUCUACGUUCAUCGGAGCAGGGUGAGUCGGCCCCUAAGGUGAGGCUGAGAAGCGUAACUGAUGGGAACAAGGUUAAUAUUCCUUGACCACCGCUGAAUGCGAAGGGGGGACGGAGUAUUGAAGAUCAUCCGGGUGUUGGAUAUCCCGGUUUGCGAGCGUAGGAGGCUGACAGGCAAAUCCGUCAGCGAAUCUCCGAGGCAAAGCAUCGAGCUCUCUUUUGAGCGAAGUGAUUGGAUGUGCUUCCAGGAAAAGCCUCUAAGCUCCAGUUCAGCGGGACCGUACCGCAAACCGACACUGGUGGGCGAGCUGAAUAUGCUCAGGCGCUUGAGAGAACUCAGGAGAAGGAACUCGGCAAAUUGACACCGUAACUUCGGGAUAAGGUGUGCCUUUGUAGCGUGGAGGGAGAAACACCCCGAGCGCGAAGAGGUCUCAGAUAAUCGGUGGCUGCGACUGUUUAUUAAAAACACAGCACUCUGCAAAGACGAAAGUCGACGUAUAGGGUGUGAUGCCUGCCCGGUGCUGGAAGAUUAAUUGAUGGGGUGCAAGCUCCUGAUCGAAGUCCCAGUAAACGGCGGCCGUAACUAUAACGGUCCUAAGGUAGCGAAAUUCCUUGUCGGGCAAGUUCCGACCUGCACGAAUGGCAUAACGAUGGCCACACUGUCUCCUCCUGAGACUCAGUGAAGUUGAAGUGUUUGUGAUGAUGCAAUCUCCCCGCGGCUAGACGGAAAGACCCCAUGAACCUUUACUGUAGCUUUGCAUUGGACUUUGAACCGAUCUGUGUAGGAUAGGCGGGAGCCUGUGAAACCACAACGCCAGUUGUGGCGGAGGCGUCCUUGAAAUACCGCCCUGAUUUGUUUGAGGUUCUAACCUGGGACAGUCAUCCUGUCCGGGGACCGUGCAUGGUAGGCAGUUUGACUGGGGCGGUCUCCUCCUAAAGGGUAACGGAGGAGUGCGAAGGUACGCUAGGUACGGUCGGAAAUCGUGCUGAUAGUGCAAUGGCAAAAGCGUGCUUGACUGCGAGACCCACAAGUCGAGCAGAUACGAAAGUAGGUCAUAGUGAUCCGGUGGCUCUGUAUGGAAGGGCCAUCGCUCAACGGAUAAAAGGUACUCUGGGG
rnacentral:rRNA from 1 species